GAAAUACCCAAAUCCCCUUCAACGCCCACAUGCCAGCUUCGAAGAAGUUACAGAAAAUGGAACUCCAUCCAUAAUCCCAAAGAAGAAUUUUGGGUAUUACCUCUUGAGGGAAAAAUAUUAGGCAGAAAGUCAGUUAUGAGCUUAUGUGUGUGUGACAUAAAGGCCUAAUGUGUCCAGCAUAUGCAUCUGCAUCUCAGUCAUCCUGACAAUGUUUCACGGGCAGCCUGACCUUUGCAUCCUGCCCUGCCCCCUUCUACCUGAUAACCUGCCAGGUGGAGAUGCCCGCCCCUUCUGCCUGACAAAUCUUCCACAAUCUCCCAGAUGCGGCCCAGUAUCUGCAUUUCAGUAUUACAGAACAGGCGGGGGUUGAAUCUCAUUUUCAUGGUUGGGGGGUGGUUAUGCGCGGCCCUAAAGGAAAAAUGUUGUUUUUAUGCUGACUGAACCGGGGUGAUUAGAAACUCCAUGGCCAAACUCAAAAAAAAAAAAAAAAAAAUGACUGGAACAAUGGCAACGGGAGAGGGAAACUUAACAGGGAUGGUUUGAGUCAUGGUUUGGCUGGUCCCCAUGGCUUACUACCCUACUGUCAGCCCUAGCAGGACCCUUAAUUAUUCUACUCCUAAUUGUAACCGUAGGACCUUGUGUGUUAAAUAGACUCAUCACCUUCAUACGGAAACAAGUUAAAAAUGUUAAACUCAUGGUCAUAAGACAACAAUAUGUCACAUUAAAAGAGACAAAAACGAAUAAUCUCUAAGAUUAGAGAUCCUCACAACAAGGAGUGGGGAAUGAAGAGUUAAAAUUGUAUGUGUGCAGGUGUAAAAAGUUAAGCUUAAGCUUACAGGUUUAAACCUUCCUGGUGCAGCUGUGAAAAUAAGACAGAGUAAAGUAGCACCUUGACAGUAGGGACUCCAUUUUGGAGCACUUGAGACUGCAUUCUGGGAAAGCAACCCCCCCCCCACCGUGAGACUCUGGUCUGAAACUAUGAUCUCAAAUAGUCGGACAAUAGCAGUGCACUACACCACCCUUGGCAACGCACAAAAACCCCCUAGCAUGAUUGCUCAAGCUUAAAAGUAGAAAGGUUGCACCUGGGUUACCUGGGCUGCUAAUGAAGAUGUGAUUUGUCUAUGUCUUAAAAUCAUAAUUGCUGAUUGUAAGAUUUUAGCAACCGCUUAGCAACCGUGUAUUCUCUCCCCCCUCCCGAUUUUGUGGUUUUUGCCUUUAUAAACCCUAUGCUGUAGUUCCUCACUGCUCCUCUGUCCUUGUCAGAGGGCCCCAACAUGUUGGAUCAAUAAAUUUAACCCUUUGCUGGUUGCAUGAGAGAAAAAGUCUCUUGGAGUCGUUCCUUGGGCGGUGGGCUUUUUUUUAGACCCUAACAUUUGGAGGUCCCACCGAGACCUGACUGCUGCCUGUGGACGCCUCCAACGGAUAUCUCUCGGGGUGAGUAAGGCACCUAUUGUUUUGAUUGAACGUGUACACUUUGAUUUGUUGUUUGGUGAGGUUUGUUAUUUGUUUGUAAUCGGCAGCGUGGUUGUCGGGCUCGAGCGAGAGCUCCACCCGACUGUGGCGGGCAGACGUGCUCCAGAGCCACAGACCACAUCCCGGGGGACGCCCCGGGAGAAAGGGAGAACUGGGGACGCCCAGUGUUUCCUGUUUGGUGGGUUGCCUGCAGUAGGGAAAUAGACUGCAGAGACUCACAUUUUGUUUGUACUGCCGAAACUUUGGUAUUUGAUCGAGCUCGUUAGUCUUUUGUAUUUGUUAAGCAUUUUUGGGACGCCGUGAUGGCUCCCGUUUGGUAGACAUUUGUGUGGUCGUUGUAUGCUGCUUCUCUACGCUGUUUGUCUGUUUGUGUACAUUGUGUUGUCUGCUAACAUGGGCCAGACUGUGUCUACACCUUUGUCUCUAACUUUGAAUCAUUGGUCAGAGGUAAGCCACUAGGCACAUAACCUUUCUUUGUCAGUCAAAAAGGUAAAGUGGCAGUCUUUCUGUGUCUCUAAAUGACCUGCUCUCAGAGUGGAUUGGCCCCCGGAGGGCUCAUUCCAUUUACCACUCAUUAGCUGAGUGAAAGAGGCCGUUCUCCAGCCUGGCCGUCAUGGGCACCCAGACGGGGAUUUUAAGAAGACAUUGAAGGUCAGUAUUCCUUCCCUCAAGCGGGACCAGAUCUGUGGAAGUGACCGUUGAGUGUCCGGCACCCCACAGCUCUCCGAGAACGCGGAGUCCCCCCGGCCACGGCUUAGCUACGGCCGAAACUCCAGAGGGAUUGUAAGGAACGGGAGGGAAAUUAGGAAGGGCAGUUGGCUGAGAGCCUGGAGACCCCCUGAGCUCACUUUGGCUUCCCGGCGGCCGGACUGCAACCCGAGGAUCAGGUCUCUCUCUCGGAGGGACGCCUGGUCACGCUGCCUACUGCUACGCGAGCAGGGCUUAGCUUCGGUCGAGGCUAAUAUUGGCCCUUCAGGUAAACUCAGACAACUAGGUAGUGGGUAACCUUGAGCGAUAGGAGAUUUCAAACCCCACUCAGCCCCCAGACUGAGGAGCUUUAUUGCUUUCUGCCUUCCUCCUCCCAGGGGCUCCCUCCUCCACUCUUUUGCUCUCCUCAUCUCCAUUCCUGUACCACUGGCCAGGAGAAAGGGAGAGGAAAAUUCCACAGGUCUCUCCACCUAGGGAAAAGCUGUUACCUGCUACCUGUUAACCCUUUCCAACCUGGUAGAAAGUCUUUGCAGCUUAUGGUAGCUCUGGUGCGUCUUAAAGUUUUUUGUGAAGUAUUACUGUUGCUAAGCUUUGAUUGCCUAAGGACUAAAUCUGGAAAAAAGCUAAAGUUAACUAUCUGUUGUAAUUGACUGAGUGUCUGCAGUAGUCCUAAUUGAUCUGGCUUUGGUUAAAUUAUAGGAGGUUCCCAACACUCUUAGUAAAACGGCACACUUACCCAACCCCACGGUUAGUCCUGCCAGGCCACAGUGUGUGCAGUCUUCCCUGUAAAUGGGGGACCACAGCCUUUCUCUGCACUGUAUUCUAGUUCAUGUGGCCUGCCGCACCCAGGCAGGCAUAGCCAAAUAUCUCUAGGCAGAGCCCCCACCCCAGGGUUGCUUUUUUCUCUCCUCUCCUGGAGGAAUUUCCAAUUCAAUACUACUGCUGGUCUUACCUAAGGGCGCCAGAACCUUAAGCCAUUAACCCUUACCAACCUGAUGGGUUUUUCUCUUUGCAGCUAAUAAAAACCUAAACAAUGGGUUAUUCAUCUGAGAGCAUUCACCUGUCUUGAAGGUUUCGUGUUUUUCUAUUGCCAUUAGAGUCUUAAUUGGAAAAACUACAAUGCAAAGUUGUUUACAUUGUUUAUCUGUUUUUAAUGUCUGAGUGAUUACCCAACUGAUCAGAAAUGUACUAAUUUUGGCUAAAUGGUUUGACUCUCUGACAGCUUAAAUUCUAAACCGAGUCUUCCAACUUUGGGCUUCCAGCCGGAUCCCUGGAACUCUCAAAGAAUGAGACUCUAACUUUGUUAAAGUAACAGCUGCUUGGGUCAAUUCAAAUUAUAUAAAAUAUAUUAAAAUGUUAUAAAUGGUGUCAGACCUAUACUGUAUUUAUGUUUUUGCUUUCCAGCUAAAGUGGUCUUAUAAGAAUAAGAGUAAAUUCUGUGUAUACAAGCCUUUAUGUUGUUAACUAAAGUAAGCCAAUGCAGAUUGGUUCAGAAAAUUGAGGUAAUGCAAACACCCUUCGGUUUGCUCAGUGGCUUGCUUGCUCAGUUUUACAUGUCUUUGAUAUGCUUUAAACUUGUUUCUCUUAAUGAGGAAGAUCUUUUCAAAGUUGUAAACAUACACUAGUGUUUGCUGUCCAGGAGGUGUUAUCCUCAUGUUACUUAAAAACAUAAAAUGUAAUUUUAACUUCUAUUUCAGAUAAUGGUGUGGUAUUCAUUAAUAACUCAGUGUCUUAAGACAUCUAGGCAUCAGUGCUAAGUAAAACUUGGGAAAAUAUAUUAUAUAUACUUUUAACAUCUCAAAUUCGAUAAAAAAAAAACUGUUUGAGUUUGUUAACGUGUAUUCUCAUAGGUUGUCCAUACAUGACAAUUCAAGGCUAUGUAAAAGUAACUACGGGUAUAAAGUUUCAAAAGGUGUAAACAAGUCAUAAAAAGUUUUAAAAUGUUUACAAUUUUAAAAUAUUGUUUACAGAGUUGAGUGCUAAUGCCAAAAUUACACUAACCUAAAGUUAAAGUCUGAUCUUCUGUUAUAACAAUGGUUUUUUUUUUUUU